CUCAGCAGCCAUGGCUCACGGGCCUAGCUGCUUCGCGGCAUGUGGGAUCUUCUCGGACCGGGGCACAAACACGUCUCCCCUGCAUCGGCAGGCUGACUCCCAACCACUGCGCCACCAGGGAAUUCCUCCCUUACUCUUUAAGGCUUCAUUUUUUUCCUUCGGGAUGUUUCUGCAGCAUCUUCACCUUGUCGUUUUCUACCUUCAGUACUGUCCAGAGACCAGAUGGCCAUGCAUCUCUCUGUGGGUCCUUAAAGGCAGGAACCAUGCCCCCCUUCCUAGCAGCACCUUGCAGAGGUGGCCACAUUCUGGAGAUGGAGGCUACAUGGGCCAGCCACCUUCCUCAUCUGGUGAUUCCAGGGCUCCAGACUGGGGGAGGGGAGUGGAGGCCUGAGGAAAACACACAUCAUACUUCAUGGUCCUUUACAGGCUGAGGAGGCUGGUUUGCUCUAGAACCAACUGUAGCCACUGCUGGGAUCCUCUUUAUGGUGCCUGCCAAUCCAUGAUGGGGAUGAUAAACAACUCUGGUGGAUGGAUUUAAUGGAUGAAGGAAACAAUUUUCCUAGGGAGAAAGAAAGUGGUUUGUUUUUAAGACUUGGUUCCUCUCUUAGUCCCGGUGGUUUGUGAUUUAUAAAGAUCUAUUCAGCUCA